rnacentral:rRNA from 1 species
AUGACGGAGCACCUCAUCUCCACGGCCGUGCACCACAUGCUGCCCGAGAGAUCCGGUCGGGUGGAGGCGGAGAGGCCGCGCCUGGAUCUGGAUGUGGUCAUCCGUGCCGCCGACAUCCCCGACGUUGUCGUCGGAGCCGAUCGCGCCUGCAUCUCCUACCGCUUCUUCCAGGUGGAGGCGGCCUGGAUGGCGGAAGCCCAAGAGUUACUCGGGGUGUCGCCGGAGGAGAACGAGAAGGCCAAGCUCUGCUCCGACGACCCGACCGAGAAGAUGCGCCUCUCCGACAGCUUCAACGCUCGCGAGGAGACGGUGCGGCACAACUGGCUCGAGCAGUUCGUCCCGGAGUGGCUACCCGCCAUGAUGCUGGAGGAGGGCCACAUCAAGAAGUUCAUGAACCAACUGGUCGUCAUGCUGCAGAUGCCCGAGAGCUCCAGCCAUGCGGAGGCGGACGAGAUUGUCAUCCCGGUCAUUGGUGAACCCGCUUACCAUGACCGCGCUGCCGUCGCCACCAGCGGCUUCUCCCAGUCCCAGGCGCUCAACAACGGGCUGUCGGUAGAGAGUUUGAUGGCUAUGGCGAACGAGUUCUUUUGGCCGGGGGAGAAGGACGUGCGCAAGCGCAAGGAGACCGUGGAGAACUGGUGCGCCACUGUCCGCCUGCACUGCCAGCAGCUCCAGCACUUGCUCUCGGACUCGCCAGCCAAUCUAGCCACCUUCAGAUCGGCCAAUGUCGCAGGAAACCCAUCAGUUUUCCACGCAGAUCCUUGUGCGUUUGCCCUGGAGUCAACUGAAAGGGGCAUCAAGCUGAAAAAUGCUACUGCAUAUUUGUGUUCAAUAUGGCGGGAAUCGAAUGAGCAAAAUCAUCCGUUAUGUCAUGAAGUAAAAGCAGAAUGCUUUGCAUUGGUUGCAGGGAAAUCUGUUGACAAGCUCCUUGAGGUAACACGCUCAUUGAUUGAGGGAGGAUGGUGUGCUUGCCAUGUUAAGGAAGUGCUGACUAUGUUUGGCGCAGUCGUUGAUAUCCUGCACAACGUUCAGGGCUUACCUUUGAAUAUAUCUGAUGAGGUCGUUGGUAUUCUGAGGAAGAUGGUGGUGGAUGGUUUCAGUGCAAUACUUAGUGGAACUGCUAGUGACGUGGAUAACAGCGAAGGAUGUGGUAUUCAUCAGGCAACUGUUGUUUUCAAACAAGUCUUGCGAUUUUUAUGCAGCAACACAGAUAUGGUGCAGUCAAUACUUGCUACUGGAGGGUGCACCAUUGAUCCUUGCUCUCACGGGUUCGGUUGCUGGGAACGCAAGCUAGAGGAAGAUGCACGAUCGAUAUGCCAAGACGAAAAAGGUCUAAGGAACAUCUACUUGUUGAACAACACGUACUCUGUUUGGCAAACGAUGCGCCGUUGUUCAGGAGCUUCCUUGCCCAACGUGGAUCUGAUUAGUAGGCUCAUUGUGAUGAUCCAGCGAGACCGGAAGAGCUUCCUUGAUCAAUCUUGGGUUGCGCUUAUAACGCCAUUACAGGCUGAAGCUUACCUGAAGAACCCGCGCCCUUCAUACCUGCAGAAAUUUUCUAAAGGAUUUGAUGCUAUGUGCCGUUCCCAAUCAACGUGGAAGGUCACACCGGAGCUCAAGUACGAACUGCGAAGAGAGAUAAAGAGUCUACUUGUUGCACCAUAUGCACGUGCGCUGCAGAAGAAACCGGGCAGGUUUUUACGGGUGUGUUAUCGGUGCAAGCAGUUCACGCAGCUAGGGAAGAUUCACCGUGAUUUUACUGUCGAGCAACUGGAACGUAACAUUGAAGAGUUAUAUGAAAGAUGA